GAUAAGAAUUUCAUGUCUUUUGUAUUAAAGAAUUAAAUGGAUGAAAUAUGAAGUUUUAUUAAAAGAAAAAGGGGUGAAAAGAACAAAGUUUUGUCCAUCUUUGUUCAUCAUAGCUGAAAGUUAGAGAAGAGAAAGGAGAGGAGAAAGCUCUUGAGUAUUCGGUCAUUAGGAGUAGGAAAAUUGAAGGUAAUCCCCAACCAUAGUGGGCUUGGAGCUGUGAGGGAAUUCGGAGUGGCCACCUAUUCUGAAAGUUUGAUUUUCUUCUGGUGAACUGGACAUCCUUUUAUUUACGUUUGAAGUUUUGGGUUUUUAAAUAUAAUAAGGCCGCUUAUUUAUUUUUGAUGGUUUUUUUUUA